AUCAAACAUAUGUGCACAAUAUAAGUCCUGAACAUGUACAAACUGAAAUAAAAUACUGGUCAUCAUUUCAAUUCUACAUCAACAACAAGAUUUCUACCGUCAACAAAAAUAAUCUACCAAACGAUGGCAUGCAAAAUGAAGUUAUAAAUGUUUUCCCAAACAUAUAAUACCAUGCUCCACCAACAUUGUAAACUAACUAUAUACCUUUCUUACCCUUUCUAUGACCAAAUCGAGUGAAAGGAGUCCGAGUGCUAGUACUUGGCAGCUUCACCCGGAGGGAUAGAAGCCGAGGUGGUGGUAGAGCACUGGGGGCGACCACAUGUGAGCAGUUUUUGGACAACUCAUCCACGUUGCCAGCAUCUGGUUUGGUUGCCUCAAAGUCAACAACAUCUGCUUCGGCUGUCUUAACAUUGCCAACGUCUGCUUCGACUGCCUCAACGUUGCUAGCAUGUACUUUUUGUUGCCUCAAAUAUGUUGUCCGUCAGUUGUGGUGUUAGGCAAUGACAAAUCAUCAUAGUAAACCCGUACAUGCAUAUCUCUAUCACUGUCAGCACAACCAAAUGCAAUAUACUCUUCACGCACAUAUUGUCUCCCAAACUCUAUAACCACAUCGUCAAACCUAUGUUUGAUCAGACUUAGCUGAUCAGUCACAUGCUCAUUCAUGUCGCACAAAUGAUCCCCAAUUUUCUAUUCAAUACCACUAAACCUCGUAUUCAUUUCAUCCCUCAAUUCACCCAACUUGAUCUCAAUGAACUCUCUGUUCAAUUAGAAUGUCUUUUAUCUCAUCCAUAUACUCAUAGCUCGCUGUUGGUGAUUUUCCAAGCCAGAAGUGUAUGGGAAGUCCUGGACUGGGUCACGAUGCUCUUCUUCUCCACCUUUCUCGUCACUAAAAUCCCAAAGACGAAUCUGAC
rnacentral:lncRNA from 1 species